rnacentral:rRNA from 1 species
GCUUGGUCCUAACCUUACUAUCAGGUUUAACUCAAUUUACACAUGCAAGCAUCCACAUCCCAGUGAGAACGCCCACAAUCUCCUUAACGGAACAUGGAGCCGGUAUCAGGCACACGCAGUUGCCCAAAACACCUAGCUUUACCACACCCACACGGGUACCCAGCAGUGAUUAAUAUUAAAAAUUAGCGUCAGCUAGAUUCAGUUAGAGUUACCAGAGCUGGCAAAUAUGGUGCCAGCCGCCGCGGCUACACCAAUAAGCUCAACUUGAUAAUUAUCGGCGUAAAGCGUGAUUUAAGUCACUCCACCCUAGAGCCAAAUUAUAACUACACUGUGAAAAGCCUGUUAUUCAGAAGCACAAGAACGAAAGUCACUCUAAUAAAACCAACUUGAACUCACGACAGCUGAGGAACAAACUAAGAUUAGAUACCUUACUAUGCUCAGCCGUAAACCUUUUAAUUACCUACUAAUC